AGUUGUAUCUUGGAUAAAUGCCUUUAAAAUAAAUGUGCGAAUGCCUUACAACAUUAUGGUAACCUAAAGCUUAUACUUAGACGUUUCUUUUACGGAAUGGAGGAUACUAGGAAUUCUGACUCUCGAGAAAUUACUGACCUGUAAAUAGUUGGCUGUGACUUUGUAGUGGAUGGCCAAUGAUAAGGGUGAAAAAGGAGGGGGUUAACGAGGACCGGAGGGGACAGACCGAGCUGUCAUAAUAAAAAUCAGCGAAGCGUGACCACUACAUCUAACCAUUAACCGAGAAGACCUUCAACGCCUUUUGUUUACAGCUGUGAAGGCGAGGAGAAGGGGUGCGGAGUGGACGCUUUAGAUUGACGUAGGACACACAAAAAAAAGUGUUGCUGAAUGAAUGAACGCGCGUCUCGUACGACAAAUUUAUCUGAAUGAAGAUGAUUUACCCCCCCC